rnacentral:rRNA from 1 species
UACGUAGGGUGCAAGCGUUAAUCGGAAUUACUGGGCGUAAAGCGUGCGCAGGCGGUUUUGUAAGUUUGUCGUGAAAUCCCCGGGCUUAACCUGGGAAUUGCAUUUGUGACUGCACGGCUAGAGUGUGUCAGAGGGGGGUAGAAUUCCACGUGUAGCAGUGAAAUGCGUAGAUAUGUGGAGGAAUACCGAUGGCGAAGGCAGCCCCCUGGGAUAACACUG